CUACUAUUGUGAGGCUCAGAAUAAACAUGGAUCUCAGAGAUCAGCAUCUGUGUCUGUAACAUCUACAGGUAUUAAUAUGAGACUCUUACUGAACUCUGCUGGUGUCACGAGCAUCAUUUGAAAUGAUGUUUCUCUUCACUCAGGUGGCCAGAAAACCCUUCUGUAUGCAGUGGCUGGAAUCGGGGCGGCGCUCAUCAGCAUCUGUAUUAUUAUUGUAGUUAUAAAAAUCAGCAGCAGGAAAAUAGGAGACGCCGGCGGCCAAAGUGGCGUUUCAAAACAGGCAAGUCCAGAAUAGCAUCUGUUUCAGCACAUUUUCAUGUAAUUGUGAUCACAGUGGGAUCAUCCGGAUUGUGCGUGUUAAUUCAGGAAAACAACAGCACAGCCGUGACGGAUCAGACGAGCGUGAAACCUUCGAAAACAGCUGAUCCGAAUGACUUGGUGUAUGCCAGCGUCACCCACAGCAGACCCAGAGAACCCCAGAGAGCUGGAGAUGAAGACGAGUUUCAGUACGCCAGCGUCCAGCACCACAGAAACACCAGGUACACGACUGUGGAGGCCGGAUGUCAAUAUGGAAACACUGUUUCUGCCGGAUCAAAUGCUGAAAAGGCGGAUGAUUCCGAUGUGAUCUACAGCAGCAUCAAAGUUGCAUGAAGAAUCGGAGCAUCACUGAACAUGCUCCUCCAUUUUCCUACAUUGAAGUGGGCAUUAAAUAGAAGUUGCGACUAAAAAGCGAUUCCGCUUAACAAACAAGACUUUAUUGUAUACAUCGGAUAGGCCUACAUAUGGAUGGAUCGAGCACAGAAAGAUGCAUUAAGAAAAUAAAUAGGGUGAAUUUAAAUUUUUACUUUGUAUUGACGUUUGAGUUGAAAUGCGCUUGUGUGACCGUGUGCGGUGACUUUAAAUACACAACACUUGUGUGAGAAACAGGACGUGAAACUAUAAGAGCUGUGAGCAAGCAUAUGCAAAACUUCCAUUUCUGAAUGGAGGAGAGGUUUAAUUACGCUGAAUAAACUGCUUUUGUGAGGAGACUUACGCUUAACAUUUUAUAGUCGGCUAAUCUUUGCCAAAAAUGUUUUGUCAAAGCAAACAUGUUUAGCAUGUUCUCACACAAGUCUUUAACAAUAGUGAAUUGGAUGCUGUAUUUACUUCUUGCAUUGUCUGAAACUCUAUUCUUAUUUCUAAAGGUGAACUGACUUGUUGAGAAGAGGCGCAAACACUGAGAUAGAGGAAGGCUGGCGUUCAUUUUUGAUGUGAUAUUCAUUAAUAGUUCAGCAGUUUAGCAGCAGUUUAACUUCCCGUCAUGCUGCUGUUCUUAUCAUUUCUUAUCUGUGACCAUUCCUUCAUGUUUAUACUACGUUUAGAAGAGUUAAAAAUGUAUAGAAAGGAUUGA
rnacentral:lncRNA from 1 species